rnacentral:rRNA from 1 species
UACGUAGGGUGCGAGCGUUGUCCGGAAUUAUUGGGCGUAAAGAGCUCGUAGGCGGUUUGUCGCGUCUGCUGUGAAAACUGGAGGCUCAACCUCCAGCCUGCAGUGGGUACGGGCAGACUAGAGUGCGGUAGGGGAGAUUGGAAUCCUGGUGUAGCGGUGGAAUGCGCAGAUAUCAGGAGGAACACCGAUGGCGAAGGCAGAUCUCUGGGCCAUUACUGACGCUGAGGAGCGAAAGCAUGGGGAGCGAACAGG